rnacentral:rRNA from 1 species
CCUACGGGUGGCAGCAGUGAGGAAUAUUGGUCAAUGGACGCAAGCCUGAACCAGCCAAGUCGCGUGAGGGAAGACGGUCCUAUGGGUUGUAAACUGCUUUUGUCCGGGAGCAAAAGACGCUACGCGUGGCGUUCUGAAAGUACCGGACGAAAAAGCAUCGGCUAACUCCGUGCCAGCAGCCGCGGUAAUACGGAGGAUUCGAGCGUUAUCCGGAUUUAUUGGGUUUAAAGGGUGCGCAGGCGGUCGGAUAAGUUAGCGGUCAAAUGGCGGGGCUUAACCCCGUGCCUGCCUCUGAUACUGGUCUUCUAGAGAGCGUGUGCAGCAGGCGGAAUGCGUGGUGUAGCGGUGAAAUGCUUAGAUAUCACUCAGAACACCGAUUGCGAAGGCAGCUUGC